rnacentral:rRNA from 1 species
GUCGAGCGAACUGAUUAGAAGCUUGCUUCUAUGACGUUAGCGGCGGACGGGUGAGUAACACGUGGGCAACCUGCCUGUAAGACUGGGAUAACUUCGGGAAACCGAAGCUAAUACCGGAUAGGAUCUUCUCCUUCAUGGGAGAUGAUUGAAAGAUGGUUUCGGCUAUCACUUACAGAUGGGCCCGCGGUGCAUUAGCUAGUUGGUGAGGUAACGGCUCACCAAGGCAACGAUGCAUAGCCGACCUGAGAGGGUGAUCGGCCACACUGGGACUGAGACACGGCCCAGACUCCUACGGGAGGCAGCAGUAGGGAAUCUUCCGCAAUGGACGAAAGUCUGACGGAGCAACGCCGCGUGAGUGAUGAAGGCUUUCGGGUCGUAAAACUCUGUUGUUAGGGAAGAACAAGUACGAGAGUAACUGCUCGUACCUUGACGGUACCUAACCAGAAAGCCACGGCUAACUACGUGCCAGCAGCCGCGGUAAUACGUAGGUGGCAAGCGUUAUCCGGAAUUAUUGGGCGUAAAGCGCGCGCAGGCGGUUUCUUAAGUCUGAUGUGAAAGCCCACGGCUCAACCGUGGAGGGUCAUUGGAAACUGGGGAACUUGAGUGCAGAAGAGAAAAGCGGAAUUCCACGUGUAGCGGUGAAAUGCGUAGAGAUGUGGAGGAACACCAGUGGCGAAGGCGG